UAAAAUUAUCUCGAAUGUGUGCCUGUUCUGCAAAGCAGCGCCUGAUAAACUAGUACUAGCGCAUGUGUUGUGUCUUCCUUUCAGUCUUCGUCUUUUGCGCUGUGCACACAUGUCGAUCGUAUGUCGCAUGCCGGAGCAUGCAGCGCCGCACGUUGGAACGGAUAUCGAAUAGUACCGGUGUCUCCCGAGCCGCCCGAGCCCAGGCAAUCCGACAGUAACGAGAUCACGAGCUGAGGUAACGGGAGGCCGAAGCAAUCCGGCACCGUUACCAGUGGGUUACUUAACCGUGACGAAGGUCAGGUGCACGCAGUAGAAGCUUCGGUUACCCCCAUUUUCCGGUAAAGGGUUGGCCUUUGUGUGCGUGGUUUCUAUUCCUUACUACAUUCACACUAUCAUAACGAUUAAAUGCCUUAACUUCGCAAAUUACGCAUUCUAGAGCAGAUAAAAGGCAUUACAGUUUUCGCUGCUCGUAUUAGGUAUAGUUAAAAAAAAAAAAAAAACUCCACACGAUGAAAAGUGUGCGUGCACACAUGGUACGACGUUUGAAUUUUGCACCAUUUCCCGCGCAAUACGUGUCCGGCCGGUACACUGCGUUACGGCAAUAAAGAAAAAGUUAAUUAAAGAAGUUAAUUCAUACACUUGCAAACUGCGGCAAUUGUCAUGCAAUAACAUUAUAUUACAAAAUUUCUUAUCUUAUUACCAUCCAUGUCUAUGUAAGCGUGUAUUUGAUUGCAUGUACUACUUGUAUGAAUUAAUACGCGUUUGCGCUGUUGACUCUCGGUUGGAGCUCGUGCGUGCGGUUUGGUUGGUAGUUUCCUGCGUUUUCUGCGUUCUUUAUUUGCCUCGCUGCGACCUCCUGGGUGUAUUCCUGCGUGUUGCUCGCUUUUUGUGGGCUUCUUGUUGCACCGAAGGUCACCCUGAUCGUCUCCGACUCAGCCACAACAAAGAUUCAAAAUGAGUCUGGAGGCACCACAACUAAAAUGUGAAAGGUUCACAUAGGUUGGAGGAGUGCUCAUUGAGGAAGUGAUCCUGGCACAGCUUACCACAGCCUGCCAUGAUGAGCGAGGCAAGUUUGCAAGGACCUUGCGUGUCCGUCACAGAGGAAGACCUUAUGGGAUGGGCCACUCGCUCUUUGGGAACAAGAACAUCAAGGAUCAAAAAUAGGCUCUUGACCCCCCCCCCCCCC